GUGUAAUUUUAAAACAAUUUAAAAAUUACAUUUGAUUUGAGCACAAACUAAUCAAAAUACAGUCUACAUUCUACAGAUAUCACAUUCAGCUCUUCAUUGCUUAUGCAAAUUUCUGCAGCUGGCUUAAAUUUCUCCUCAGAAAAUGGUAUUUUCUUUUCUAUCACAUUGUCAGGCUACAAAUUUUCCAAACUUUUAUGCUCUGCUUCCCUUUUAAAACUGAAUGCCUUUAACAGUACCUAAACUAUAGAUGGGUAAUACUUUUUUGCAACAGAAGCCAACUUCCCCAGUACUACACUAGCUCCAAUCACCUCCUCACUCUCCACUUCCACCUCACCAUCUAAUCUGUUUUAUGGCAACAUGAAUUGAUCAAUCCCAAUGAAGACUCACUUGGCAUUAAUGUUCUCUCCACAGUCUUCCAAAUCCCACGCCAGUAACGGAAGCACUGAAAUUAAAGUAACAUCUAAUAUAAUUUUAUUUUUACUUUAUUGU
rnacentral:lncRNA from 1 species